CGGCGGUUUUUUGGGGUAAGGACUACGAUAUUGACUGUAGGAGUUAGCCGAAUGAGCAGAAGGAAAGCUGAGUCCAAAGAGCGUAAUAGUCGCGUAGGCGAAAGCAAAUACAGCAUAGUAGGAUCCGGAGUACUGUGAGACACGAGAAAUCUUGCAGGAAAGCGGGGGGACCACCCUCCAAGCCUAAAUACUACAUGGUGAGCGAUAGAGAAGAAGUACUGAGAAGGAAAGGUGA
rnacentral:rRNA from 1 species